rnacentral:rRNA from 1 species
UGGGGAAUUUUGCACAAUGGGGGAAACCCUGAUGCAGCGACGCCGCGUGAUUUAGAAGGCCUUCGGGUUGUAAAAAUCUUUUCUAUGGUAAGAAAAUGACAGUACCAUAGGAAUAAGGACCGGCUAAUUACGUUCCAGCAGCCGCGGUAAUACGUAAGGUCCGAGCGUUGUCCGGAAUCAUUGGGCGUAAAGGGUACGUAGGCGGGUAAGCAAGUUAGAAGUGAAAUCCUAUAGCUCAACUAUAGUAAGCUUUUAAAACUGCUCAUCUUGAGGGAUGGAAGGGAAAGUGGAAUUCCUAGUGUAGCGGUGAAAUGCGCAGAUAUUAGGAGGAAUACCGGUGGCGAAGGCGACUUUCUGGCCAUAACCUGACGCUGAGGUACGAAAGCGUGGGUAGCAAACAGG